CUUGACGGAGCCGAGCCACAGCGGUUCGCCGCCGGACCGUUCCUGCCCGUAGGUGGCCAGGAGGGCCUGCGCCUC
rnacentral:antisense_RNA from 3 species